AGCAACCCAUUUGAAUCUCUCAAAGUAUAUAAUCAUGUUACAAGUUACAAGCACAUGCCAUCAGUUUCAUACCAAAAACUAUUCAUUAAACAAUGCUUAAAACAAACAAUAUAUAUGAAAAGGUUUCAAACUUCAAGUUAUUCCCCACAGAAGUUCACAAUUUAUGACCACCAUUGUUUUUCAAUUACUUUGUUAGAAAUAUAUAAUCUGGUACCAUACCAUGGAUAGCUAAAAUAAAAAUCAACUUGUGAUAUCAGCUUGCAUUUGGUCAAUAAAUCAAUAAUAUAGCAACUUUGCACAAAUAUAUAUUUGAGACUGUCACUCCAGCUGUUAGAAGAUUUGCUUGCAAAAUGACAAAGGUAAGGCAACAAGUACCAGUUAUGUAGUGAGAUCAUCAUAUCAUGAGUAUGUAAAGCUUAGAGAGAUUGUAUGAUAUAAAGUUUUUUUUUUCUUUCAUUUCUAUGACAGAAUAUAGCCUAGAUUUAGCAGCAGUGAGAUUCUUGUUGAGUUGCAUAUACAGUAAUAGGAUGGUGUUUUCUAUAUAGCCAAAUACAGCAUAUAUUUUUUCAGUUGCAGAAAUUUGGUGUAAGAUUUUAUUUUAUUUUAUUGUUCAAAUUGAUAAUCCUUUGUUUGACAAGGUUUAUUUGUUUUAUUUAUUUUUGCCUGAGAAUCUAGUUGUAAUAAAUAUACAUUAAAUUUUGGUUACUUUGAACAGUUUUUUUCAUGGAGUGGAAUUACAAAUUA